AGGCACAGACAGCCGGGCAGAAAUUCUGAGGUUACGCAGACGAUUUUUAAAGGACCGAGACAAACUCAGUUUGCUUUAUGCCAAAAAAGGCCUUGUGGAACAAAAAUGAGAGAAGGAUAUCAAGAACGAGUUAAAAGUGAAGCAGGACGCCAAGAUUAUUCUGUACAGAAGUUAUCGACAAGGGGACCUCCCAGACAUCCAGAUACAGCACAGCAGUCUGAUCACCCCCUUGCAGGCUGUGGCCCAGAGGGACCCAAUAAUUGCAAAACAACUCUUCAGCUGCUUGUUUUCUGGGAUUCUGAAAGAGAUGGAUAAAUUUAGGA